GCUGUAAUGGCCGAGUGGUUAAGGCUUUGGACUAGAAAUCCAAUGGGGAUUCCCCUCGCAGGUUCAAAUACCGCUUGCAGCG